CAGUCGCCACGGGAAUACGAAGGGGGCUAGCGUUGUUCGGAUUUACUGGGCGUAAAGCGCACGUAGGCGGACUUUUAAGUCAGGGGUGAAAUCCCGGGGCUCAACCCCGGAACUGCCUUUGAUACUGGGAGUCUUGAGUUCGAGAGAGGUGAGUGGAAUUGCGAGUGUAGAGGUGAAAUUCGUAGAUAUUCGCAGGAACACCAGUGGCGAAGGCGGCUCACUGGCUCGAUACUGACGCUGAGGUGCGAAAGCGUGGGAAGCAAACAGGAUUAGAUACCCGCGUAGUCCCUGUCUCUUAUAC
rnacentral:rRNA from 1 species